rnacentral:lncRNA from 1 species
CCCAGCCUGGGUGACAGAGCCAAACUCUGUCUCAAAAAAAAAAGAAAAAAAAAAAUUGCCUACAGAGCCCUGGAGACCCUUGCUGGUACUUAGAAAUCCCCAGUAUGGCUCCCUCUUCCUGUGAUGGGGGGCCCACACGUUGACCAUUGCACUCAGGCUCCCAGAGGUCGCAGAGCCAGUCCUGCCUCUCCCCAGGGAGCCCAGAGGUCCCAGAGCCAGCCCUUCCUCUCCCCAGGGAGCACACAGUCCCUGAGCUGGCUGACCUUGACAUCCCAUGUCAUUGCCUACAUGGAGGGACACUCCUCUGUGUCCCUCCUCCGCCCCCACCAACCUCCCGGGGACAGCUGGGCUGAUUCCCCAGCAAAUCCACAGCUCCCAGCAGUUCUCAGAUGCAGCCACACAGCCCACUGGGCUCUGCAAACACUUAGUUUCACAUGGAAGUCCCGGCCUACCCCAGAUGAAACAGUGACUCAACCAACAGCCUCAGGCCUCCCUCAGUCAGCUGCCUCUAAUACUCCUUUCCUCCUUAUCAAAUCCACCAUCUGAAACCCAAAAGAAAGGCAUCACAAUGAAACUACUUGCUAUCUGUUGUUUAAUUCACACUGAUUUAAUUAAGUGAUAAUGCUUCAUCAAUUAACUUUCCCUGUAGUGUUUUUAUUUUCAAAGAGAAGCUUAUAAGCCAAAAAGGAUUUUUCCUGUUUUUUGGAGACAGAGUCUUGUUCUGUCACCCAGGCUGGAGUGUAGUGGUGUGAUAGCUUACUGCAACCUCAGCCUCCAAGGUGAAAGUGAUUCUCCU